GAAGGGAUUAUCUCACAAGUGCCAACUCGAAUUUCUCAUCUCGAGCACAUUUCAUUGACCUUCUUUCUUUCAGGUGAUUCACAUUCACAUUCAGAUUCAGAUUCAUAUUGAGCUCGGCAAGUAUUUUAAUCCCCAAAUGAUGAAUUCCCAUCCCAUCUCACACAACUUCACCCGCACAUUCCUCUGCAAUCCCGUCCCGCAUAACAAAAACGGCCACCACACUUUGGCAUGAAUCGGUUGUAGAACGUUUUUAUUUAUUUUUUCUCAUUUUUGGAAGACUUGAAACUGGUUUUCGCCUGUCGAACAAAAGAAAAGGAGCAGCUGCUGCUGAAAUACAUUUUUAUCCCAGCUCCGGAGAGCCAUCAACAUCGCCGCAUCACCUGCCGCAAAAAAUAACAACAGCCGGAGCAGCCCGAAGACAUGGAAACUGAGGCAAGGAGAGGCAAGCUCAGUGGCAGCAACAGCAGCGGAAGGGGCAGGUAGGUAUGAUUCAUCAGUCAUGUGCCUCAUUACCGUGGCAAGAUGCUAAGCGAGUACACUCAGCACAGAACUCAGAAAAUAGAACCAAAUGACACGAACCAGAUGAUCCGAAUUCAGGUUAUCAGACCUGUUUUCUAAGUAUUCCUCAUUGUACCUAUAAACCAUGACACAUUUACUUUAUUAUCCUCUUCGAUAAUUUAGUUUGGAAUAACAGGAAUAGCAACUUAGCGUUGAAUUUUUUGUAUUUUAUUUUUGUAUUUAUUUAUCCAUUUAAAAUCAACAUUGAACGGGAUAUUCACAAUAAUAAAUUCAUCACCAUAUAUGCCAGAUAAAGAGAUCUCUUGUUAUAAAAGUAUCUUUUCCACAUUUAAACCCAUAAUAUUCUAUAAUUUCUAUUCACUAUUUUACGUGUUGCUAAUAUACUAAAUUAAUCGAGGGAAAUAGAGAGAAUUGCGCCUUAAAAUCGUGUUUUCCGCAGUGCAACAGUAGCUGAAACUGAGCUCAGAAUCCGGGAAGCAGAAACCAGUUUCCACGAGGGCAUCUCAUCUUCUCCUCCUCACAAAGCCGCCCUCACAGCCAAGAGGAAAAUGAAGAACGAGCCCAAAAACAAAGCGACCUUGUCGAAGGCAGGCCACCUACAAAGUUAGCCAUGAAAAAUAGGGGGAAUAUAUCGUGUGUAUAGAGUUGGUGAGUUGGGUGGAACGGAGGUGGAACCAUACCGUGGUGCCAUAUCCCAUCAUUCUGACUCAUCGGGGGAGAGCAAACAUCAUUUCUUUAUCUGAUGGCAUGCAAAAGAGGCAUCGGGAAAACAAAAACGGGCAGUUCCAUGUUUUAUGGGCUACUCUCCGCCCAUCAGUUUCGUUUGGUGUCCAAAAGGGCUGCCUUCCGCAUUUCCAGGUUGAUUCAUUUCAAUGGCCACCACCAGCACCACCACGACCACCACGACCACCAGAUGCAAACAGCACGAUUUGUCAUUCAUUCAAAAAGUACAACAAACCAACCGAGAAGAUGGGGCAGAGCAAAUUGUGUCAUGUUUGGCAUUCAGAGACACACAACUAUUCUAUUAUUAAUACAAAAUGGAAAAUAGCGAGCACAAAAAAUUAUGAAAUAUUCCUAUAUAAGAUCAAAACUCGUUGAUGAGCAACUGUAUCAUCUGUAUCAUCAUCUUAAUCUCACCGCCUGGCGUGCAAAGCAAACAGCCACAGCGAAGAAGCAUCAAAUUCAAAGCGAUAAACCAUAAAUGAAUAAAAAGAUAAUGGUUCCGUUCCGGAGAAGUUGAAAACCGCCUGGAAGCAAGGUCCCACACAAUUGCGAGUGGCAGUCAUAGCCAAAGCUAAAGCUCAUUAGGUUUACGGCUAAUAUAUAUUAUAAUGAGUAUCGCCUUAUAAUAGGCACUCUGAUGUGGCUGCCCUCGUCGCGGGGACGUGGGAAACUUUCCAUCUAUUCAUCUUUUGUCGCAUAGAACACCAUGGCGACGAUGAUCGCCAAAGUCAACGGCUGAACACGGUUGAAUGCCAUCAGAGCGAAACCGGUGUUUCGAUCGCACUUGGGUUAUGCAAGCGAAACAGGCACUCUUAUUUUGCUUAGUGUAUUCAUACGGCUUCUAACAUAUUAAGAUCUUUUAUAGAUACGAUCGUAUUUAAAUCGAUUACAAAAUGUUUCAGCUAUCAGGAGACUUUACCACUUUUGAAAAUAACUUAGUAAUCCUAACCCUUAAAUAAUAUAUGCUGGUAUCUGUCAUGUAUUUUAUUCCCAAAUAAUAAAGUUGUUUCACUGCCAACUACUGCAUAAAAAGGUGUAGUAUCAGCAAUGCAUCUUUUUAAAUCACUUGCAAACAGAAGUACACUGUGUGAAAUUUUAGAUAGCUGUCUUUCCGAGUGGCGGGUUCAUGGAUCGUGGACAAUGGACUGGGGACUGGGGACUGGGUAGCCAUACAACUUGUGUAUUGGAAUUGAAUGAAAAAAAGGGCCGUGGGCUUCGUGUGCACCGGUCCCCAGGUCAUUUCCCUCUGCGCAAAUCAGUCAGUUGAGAGAUCAGCAUCAGACAGAAGUACACAAGUACAAAAGUACUGAAGUACAGGGUACAGUAACUAAAGUGACUACAACAUCGGCACAGAAAAUACAAAAAAAAAAUACAUAAAAUAAGGCAAAAGGCAGAGAUCUUAGAUUUCUAUUAUGGCAUUUCUUUCAUCUUCUUUUUUUUCUUUUGAGUGGCCCGUUCGUCUUCAUCAACAUUUUCAUUUUCCAGGUUCGUUUUUUUUCUGCCAUUUUCAGUUUAGCCAUUUGGCGGGGCAAACGGCGAAUUGAAGUCGCGGCGUAAUUGACGUUAUAGUGAUGAGAUGAGAUCAAAAUGGACCACAAUGAUUGCGGCGAUAAUUGCGACACAGACAGACAGACAGACAAACAGAAAGACAGACGGACGGGCACACAAAUAUUCUUUUGGAGCCACGCACCGAGGAAUGAUAAAUGAUAAAUGAAAUGUGCCAGGGAAAAGAUGCAGCAGCAGAUACAGAUACAAGAUACAAGAUACCCCGAGUUCGGAUACGCGGAAAAAUCAACUGGCGAUGAAGACAAUGGAGAAAGGGGGAGGCGGUAAAACCACUUCUGAAUGAAAAGUGCUGCGGAAAAGUGUUAAUGUUCCAGGAAAAUGACCAUAAGGUUCGCCUGACAAGCUGCUUCUCAACAUUUGUAUGUACAAUGUAUCUUUCUUCAAGAAAAUCGUACAACUUUAUAAAACUGAUGAUGUAGAUAGGUUAGCAUGUUUUCUAUAUGAUACCAUCCACAAUCUGCAUAAUUUGCACAUAAAGUAUUCAAAUGAACUGCACCCAAAAUGGCAAAGAAGUGAAAACAUGUCUUCAAAGUAUUAAACUGCAAAUAUGGCUUAAUAAAAGGCGUUUCUAGUAAUCCCAUCACUUAUGGCAAAGCUUCGCCAUAAAAACAAGUUCCCAGAAUAACGCUGAGAAGCAAGUGCUUGUACAUCUGUUUUUGGCACAGUGUAUAGAGUAUAGAGUAAUCCACCCAUUUUUUUUCGGGUGAUUUCCAGAGGGGUGGGCGUUUGUUGUGUGAGUUUGUGAUUCAUUGAGAACAAUGGCAAUCUAAUGAUGAUGAUGAUUAUUGCAAACAACAACUAGGUAAACUCUUCUGACCAGGUCAGAGGUUUGGCGAGGGGGGAGGGGUGAAGGGCGGGGGUCGUGGUCGUUGAUCCACAGUCAAAUUAAAUUACCAACCAACCACAACGAAGUAACAACAACGAAAAAGUGAAAUUGUUGUUGCUCUCUCGUCCGGUUGUCAUUGAAGGCACGUUUUCGUAUUUUCGACGGAUAUUCGCGGUUUCUUAUUUGAAGUGAUCAGAUAAAUAAAGUGGACUGCGGGCGGGGAAUGGAGGGGGGGUACGUACUACGUAUCUCAAUCCCAAUAAAGGGAGUUCAUGUUAGAGGUAUAAUACGUGAGCGGGAAUGAUUUUCAUCGCAGAUCCGAGCAGCGAGAAAUUCAGCAAAUAUCGUGGGAGCAUCUAACUUCGAUGAAAGAGUUCUUCCAACUUCCCAAAAUGAACUCAAACAAAGCUCUAGCAUAUCAGUACUAUGUUUUACUUUAGUAUCAAAGUAAAUGAAACAACUGCCUUUGCAUAUUGAUCAUGCUGAUAUUAUCGCAAAGGGAAAUUGUGUUUAUUUCUGGUAAUUUGCGCGCAAUUAGUAGCUGCAAAUGAGCUCAUAAAAGAGAGCUUCCCAGAUUCCAGCGAUUAUCUGUGCACUUGCUAAUCUACUGUUGUACACUUCCCCCAAAUGACUGGGGACCCAAAGAACUAUGGAACUAUGGAACUAUAGAACGAUAGAACUAUAGAACGAUAGAACUAUAGAACUAUGGAACUAUAGAACGAUAGAACUAUAGAACUUAAACACCGUUAGAAGCCGUCAUCAUCAGCAUGCGACGGCUGUUUGAGCCACUUUCCUUUCACAACACAACUGGGAAAUGGUGUUGUAUGGCGGAGACAACGCAAUUUUCACACGAUGAACUUAAGGCGUAGUAGCCCCUACUUUGGCUCCCCCCCUUUCCCCUUUCCCCUCCAAAUCUAGACCCCCCCUCGGCUCAACCGAUAUAUUCGUGUCAACAUGUGUUGUUGUGUUGCAUAUUAUGUAAAUUAUUUGCGGGGCAAACAGAAAUGAAAGAGCGGCAAGCUCAUUGUCUUAGUGCAGAGAGAAAAAAUCCUAAGGCUUCUAAAUAAUAUUCUGUAUAUUAUAUUUAAUGUAAGUAAAUCUAAUGUAAGUAAAUCUGUAAAGAUUACAUCUUUAUUAUAUUACGUUUGAAUAUCAGUAUGUAUAUGAUGCAUACUAGAAGUUUGUUCUUUCAAAUGCUUUACUAUUGAGAAGUUCUUGAGUUCCUGAGUCCCUUUUCGCGCAGUGUCUAUCUUCCCUCUCUUUCUCAGCCCCAAUUGCGGCCUCUUUCGUGGACUAAGUAGCACCCAAUGGGCCAUCUCCAGCAGACAGGCCACAACAUUGUUGACCAUGUUGAAAUACAUCAAGCGAUUUUAACCGUUUUAAUGCUUUUUUCGCCCUGCAGUGCGAGUGAGAGAAGAACAGAGGUGCGAGCGAGACAGAGAGAGAAAGAGAGGGAAAGAGAGGGGUAGUAUAGAGCAGGGACUUAUGGAGCUCAUAUAAUUUCUGGCCAUUUCUGCUGCCAUUUUAUUACCAGAACUGUGUGAACUUGUUGCUCGCGCUUUUCCUUUUCAUGCCUGUAGUUUUGUUUAGUUGUUCGUGCGAUUAUUUUUCCAAUUUCUUCUCUUGUUUUUUUUUUUCCCCUGCGAGACUUGCUAAAUUUAGAGUAGCGUAGAGAGAGCUUAGGAAAAUGAAAACUUGGGUGUAUUUUUGGAAAUGAUUUCAAACGCAUCUCAAGGUGCGAAAUAAACAAAUUUCUCGCCCGAUGUAAACAAAUCAAGCGUACCGAAAAAUUUCGUUUCUGCUCGUCAAAAUAUAAACAAAAUCAGCGGGAUCGUUUCGAUCGUGUUUACAUGUGUGGCCACAGUAACAACAAAUAUUGGGAACUGAUUCGGAAAAUACGAAAAUUUGCAUCGAGAAAAGGCAGACAUAUGUAUCAAUAUGACGCGUUGUCUUCGUAAUGUGUUUUAAACAAUUUCAAUUACAAUUUACUGAUUUAUGUAAGGAAAAUCUUAAUUAUUGUUAUAGAGACAAUCAGCCAAGAAAAUGAAGGGUUUUCUCAUGACCUUAGUUUCGGUCUGCAAAUGAAGCCGCAUGAUCCAUCAUCAUCUGCUUUAUCACUCAUCCAGCACAACGAUUAGCUUGCUGCCGCCACUUGAUUAUACAAUCGAGUUAAUUUGAUGUUUCGCUGGCAGCAAUUGCCACCAUAUCCAUACACCAUGCAACACACACCAUACACCAUACACCAACUAUACCAUAUACAUACAUAUAUAUAUACACUAUAUAUCCCAUAUAGAUCGGGGCGUGUCCCGGGCCACAGAAAAGCGGAUGAUUGUACAUCCCAUACGUUUGUGCAUUAGCCAGUGCGGCGAUGACGACAUCUCUCAAAUGUGUGGCAAUCCGCGGACGGAUAGACAAGUGGAAGAUACAAAUACAGAGACAGCUACAGCUACGGAUACAGAUACAUUUACAAACAACUCGGCUACGGAUACGCAAAAUGCCGACAGACAGAUAGAUUUAUGACAUAUAUGAAUUACUAACUGUGCCGCUUCGCUAAUUGUUGUUAUUGCUACUCUGCGCCACAGUUAUGACUCGAAUUAUUCAAUUUUCAGCAGCGCCCCGAAAUCAACAGAAACUUCAAAGCAACGGAAAUGCAAAAACACUCAUGUAAAGAAAGGAAAAGAAGGGAAAACUUCAAGCAAUCAAAUCGCGCAUCGGGCAGAUCAUCGUGGCCGAAAGCAAGUGCAAUUGGCCAAAACCAGCGCCACAACCAGAUAAAAACUGAAAAAACAAUUUCCAAGCGUCCGCCGCCCGUUGCAAUGCAUUUUAAUUUGACUUUAACUAUUUGCGCAUAUAAUUAACAGCAGCAGUUAGUACACAUAAAACAAAUAGUUUGAAAUGUAUAGUAGUGAAAAAAUCGUUUAAUUUAUAUGAAAAUAUUAGAUAAAUAUAAAUGCAUUUUAUUUAUUUAUAUUUGUCAAAGAAAUAAAUAUGUUUCAUGUCUAUGUUUUGUGGUGGCAAUAAGUAAUAAAAAUGCGAUUCUUUUUAACUUCAAAGAAGUUUAUAAAAUAUUAUCUUUGUAGUUUUCCACGAACUUUUUCUCUUGGUGUACCGCUUGCAACAAAAAACACCAACUGCGUGUUUUUUUUUUCAUUUUGAGUGGAAGGGGAUCGCAUUGUCUGGCAAUUUCGCCCGCAACAAUGAGAUAUAUAGCCAUUAAUACAUAUAUAUGUAUCUAUAUACAUAUAUCUUGUUGGAUAGGCUCGACAACUACAACUACAACAACUACAACUGCCAACAGCAGCUUGUUCGCAAUAAUAACUCAAAAAAAAGCUCUCCAAUGUGACAUGUGCCAGCCCCCUGCCAUUCAGCCCCCCUCGAAAACGCCGCCCCU